UUUAAUAUAAAUCUUGGGGGUUAAUUUGAUAUGCUAGCAUAUUGUGUUAACCUAAGUUCCUAAUUAGGUUAAGUUCAAAGUGUUUGAGCUAAACUGAAUCUGUUGCCUUUCACCUGAUCGGAUUGGAUCUAUUUUAAUUGGACUCCUAUCCAACUUGAAAGAGUUUUAAGUAUAAAAGGAGUCCUCCUUGUCACUCAAGUUUCAUGCCAAAAAUUAAUUGCCACCCACCCUUUUUAGUGUUAAGAAGAGG
rnacentral:lncRNA from 1 species